rnacentral:rRNA from 1 species
AAUCAACGCUGGCGGCGUGCCUAACACAUGCAAGUCGAACGCGAAAGUCCCGCAAGGGGCAAGUAGAGUGGCAAACGGGUGAGUAACACGUGGGUGACCUGCCUUCGAGCGGGGGAUAACGUCCCGAAAGGGACGCUAAUACCGCAUAACAUCCUGCCUUUGAAGAGGUGGAGAUCAAAGCUAGGGAUCGCAAGACCUGGCACUUGAAGAGGGGCCCGCGCCUGAUUAGCUAGUUGGUGGGGUAAUGGCCUACCAAGGCAACGAUCAGUAUCCGGCCUGAGAGGGCGGACGGACACACUGGGACUGAGACACGGCCCAGACUCCUACGGGAGGCAG